UUUAGCAAUGGCUGUCACUGUUUCCAUCUUCUCCACUCCAAGUCCUCUCCCCCUCGUAAAUCUGAAGCACCUCAAGGCCUCCCACAAAUCUGCCUCUAUUUCUCACAGGAGGCAGCUCUCCGUGCUAGCCAUGACCUCCAUCUCCCUACCAAUCAACGUGGACUACUUGGAGACGGAGUUCAGCGGCCACGGCGUGAGCUUCCAGGGCGUCGGCGACAGCUGCGCCGUCAAGAUGGUCAUGGAGAACGGUAGCGUGGCCACUCUCAUGCUGCCCAGUGGUCUCGUCACGUCUUACAAGCCCAUCAUGUGGCACGGUGCCACCUUCGAAGUGCUGCACACUACUGUUUCGGAGGGAGAGGCAGGGGAGGCAGUGGUUCGAGGAGGAGCCUCCAUGGAUUUCAAGAUCCAUGCAGAUGGAUGCUCGUCGAUUCCAUGGUCUUCCAACCACUGGUCUCUUCAAAGUGUCAGAGGGAGCCCGGAAAAUUCCAUUCAGGUGGAGUUGCUAUCACUUUCUCCACACAGCAUGGUCGAAGCCAAAUUCUUGGUGACACUCGAUCAGGACUCUAUUAGCUCCGAACUGAUCGUCGCUAACACAAAGUCGUCGUCGGCGAUCGAAAUGUCGGGCUCCUUCAUCAGCCACUUGAAGGUGAGCACACCUGACGCAACCUAUGCAGUUGGGCUGCAAGGCUCAAAUUACCACAGCAAGAAGCCGAUAUCAUCAGAGUUCAGCAUCAUUCCGCCUUCUUUGUGGACGCCGAAUGAGAAAGAAGAGGAAGAAGGCUCCAGUACAGAGGAAUCGGAGGGAGAGGAAGAUGAUGAUUAUGCACACAUGACAGAGAAGAUGAGUAGAAUAUACACCAGUGCACCAAGGCAGUUCACAAUCAUUGAUAGGGGAAGAAGAAACUCAGUUGUGAUACGGAGGAGUGGAUUGGAAGAGGUAUAUAUGUACAGUCCAGGAUCAGAGCAUGACUGGUAUGGUAACUAUGCAUACGUUUGUGUCGGACCAUCUGCUAAGCUGAGACCUCUCGUUGUGGCUCCUGGAGGCAUUUGGAGAGGGUCACAGUGCAUCCACAACCCAAACCUUUAAGACAAGAACCUACAGGCUUCAUUUCAUGCCACUGUAAUAUAAAGGAAAUGGAACUCGGAGUUCUGCUGGAGAUGGGGCGGCAGCUCCACUUCGUCAAGGUUGACUUCGAAGCCAAGUCGCAAUAUGUCGCCCAAAGAGAACGAUUGAGGCAGCUUCUCUUCGCAUGCUUCCAUACAACU